rnacentral:rRNA from 1 species
UACGAAGGAUUCGAGCGUUAUCCGGAUUUAUUGGGUUUAAAGGGUGCGUAGGCGGACUGAUAAGUCAGUGGUGAAAUCCUGUUGCUUAACAACAGAACUGCCAUUGAUACUGCCAGUCUUGAGUACAGUUGAGGUAGGCGGAAUGUGUCAUGUAGUGGUGAAAUACUUAGAUAUGACACAGAACACCGAUUGCGAAGGCAGCUUGCUAAACUGUAACUGACGCUGAGGCACGAAAGCAUGGGGAGCAAACAGG